rfam:Corynebacterium vitaeruminis DSM 20294, complete genome.
UGCCCCGGCCCGCCCCCCUGUGGCCGGGAUUGGCGGCUCGCGCAUUACCCCCCCCUAGCGCGAGCCGCCCCUU